rnacentral:rRNA from 1 species
UACCAGCUCUCCGAGUGGUAGGGAUGAUUAUUGGGCUUAAAGCGUCCGUAGCCGGCUUAGCAAGUCUCCUGUUAAAUUCAGCGACCUAAUCGUUGAGCCGCGGGAGAUACUACUAGGCUAGGAGGCGGGAGAGGUCAACGGUACUUCCGGGGUAGGGGUGAAAUCCUAUAAUCCCGGGAGGACCACCAGUGGCGAAGGCUGUUGACUAGAACGCGCUCGACGGUGAGGGACGAAAGCUGGGGAGCGAACCGGAUUAGGUACCCGGGUAGUCCCAGCUGUAAACGAUGCGAGCUAGGUGUUGGGGUGGCUACGUGCCACUUCAGUGCCGCAGGGAAGCCAUUAAGCUCGCCGCCUGGGGAGUACGGCCGCAAGGCUGAAACUUAAAGGAAUUGGCGGGGGAGCACCACAAGGCGUGAAGCUUGCGGUUC